AUUAAACUGAAGAGUUUGAUCCUGGCUCAGAUUGAACGCUGGCGGCAUGCCUUACACAUGCAAGUCGAACGGCAGCACGGGAGCAAUCCUGGUGGCGAGUGGCGA
rnacentral:rRNA from 1 species